GAUGAACGCUGGCGGCGUGCCUAAUACAUGCAAGUCGAGCGAACAGACGAGGAGCUUGCUCCUCUGACGUUAGCGGCGGACGGGUGAGUAACACGUGGAUAACCUACCUAUAAGACUGGGAUAACUUCGGGAAACCGGAGCUAAUACCGGAUAAUAUAUUGAACCGCAUGGUUCAAUAGUGGAAGACGGUUUUGCUGUCACUUAUAGAUAGAUCCUCGCCGCAUUAGCUAGUUGGUAAGGUAACGGCCUACCAAGGCGACGAUGCGUAGCCGACCUGAGAGGAUGAUCGGCCACACUGGAACUGAGACACGGUCCAGACUCCUACGGGAGGCAGCAGUAGGGAAUCUUGCACAAUGGGCGAAAGCCUGACGGAGCAACGCCGCGUGAGUGAUGAAGGUCUUCGGAUCGUAAAACUCUGUUAUUAGGGAAGAACAAAUGUGUAAGUAACUCUGCACGUCUUGACGGUACCUAAUCAGAAAGCCACGGCUAACUACGUG
rnacentral:rRNA from 1 species